UACAGAGGUCCCGAGCGUUGUUCGGAUUCACUGGGCGUAAAGGGUGCGUAGGUGGUGAGGUAAGUCGGAUGUGAAAUCUCCGAGCUCAACUCGGAAAUGGCAUUGGAAACUACCUUGCUUGAGGGUUGGAGGGGGGACUGGAAUACUUGGUGGUAGCAGUGAAAUGCGUAGAUAUCAAGUGGAACACCAGUGGCGAAGGCGAGUCCCUGGACAACUCCUGACACUGAGGCACGAAAGCUAGGGGAGCAAACAGG
rnacentral:rRNA from 1 species